AUUGAACGCUGGCGGCAUGCCUUACACAUGCAAGUCGAACGGCAGCACGGGAGCAAUCCUGGUGGCGAGUGGCGAACGGGUGAGUAAUGUAUCGGAACGCACCAUUGAGUGGGGGAUAACGUAGCGAAAGUUACGCUAAUACCGCAUAUACCCUGAGGGGGAAAGCAGGGGAUCGCAAGACCUUGUGCUCUUUGAGCGGCCGAUAUCAGAUUAGCUAGUUGGUGAGGUAAAGGCUCACCAAGGGGACGAUCUGUAGCGGGUCUGAGAGGAUGAUCCGCCACACUGGAACUGAGACACGGUCCAGACUCCUACGGGAGGCAGCAGUGGGGAAUUUUGGACAAUGGGGGCAACCCUGAUCCAGCCAUGCCGCGUGAGUGAAGAAGGCCUUCGGGUUGUAAAGCUCUUUCGGCCGGGAGGAAAUCGCAUCAGCUAAUACCUGGUGUGGAUGACAGUACCGGAAUAAGAAGCACCGGCUAACUACGUGCCAGCCGCCGCGGUAA
rnacentral:rRNA from 1 species